UGAAAGAUGCAAUUGCAUCACUCAAAGAUGAUCCCGCGUUGUAUUAGCUAGUUGGUGAGGUAAAGGCUCACCAAGGCGAUGAUACAUAGCCGACCUGAGAGGGUGAUCGGCCACAUUGGGACUGAGACACGGCCCAAACUCCUACGGGAGGCAGCAGUAGGGAAUCUUCGGCAAUGGACGAAAGUCUGACCGAGCAACGCCGCGUGAGUGAAGAAGGUUUUCGGAUCGUAAAACUCUGUUGGUAGAGAAGAACGUUGGUGAGAGUGGAAAGCUCAUCAAGUGACGGUAACUACCCAGAAAGGGACGGCUAACUACGUG
rnacentral:rRNA from 1 species